UCCCUGCUGCAGCCGGGCCAUCCGCGAGCACAGGACACAAGAUUCUGUCAGCAGGGUCUGGGAUAUCCGCGGUGAGGGAGACUCCGCAGCCCGUGUGGACAAUCUGUUGCUGGGCACGGCGUUGCUGAGCCGCCUCUCCUCUCUGUGCCCCGUGCAGGCGAGAUCCCGGCGCACUUGGGCGGCCCCGCGGAGUUCGGGGAUAACGUGGAGGAUGAGUGGUUCAUUGUGUAGCUGCUGCGGGAGAUGAGCAGGGAGUUGCCGGGGCUGGCAGCCAGGUGACUUUCACUCGGUGUUUGUAUGCACAGCUGGUGCAGCAGCAGUUUGUUCCAGACAGACGCAGUGGAUACACCCUGCCCGCCCCAGCUCAUCCUCAGUACAGAGCCUGCGAGCUGGGCAUGAAGCUGGGAAUGAUUCCUGGGGCAUUUUGGCCUUGGCUCAUGCAUGUGCAGGGAAUGGGUCGUUGUCUGGAGGUUGCCUGCUUGUCCAGAGAAAUGUGAGCAAAGUCUGUCCCACCUUGAGAACCUCUUGUUGUUGCAUCUUUUGUCUGCAGGCUCAUGGCUUUGAAAUGUUGUGCUCCAAGAGCAGUAAAGUGGCUCCUGAUGCCAAGGGAAACGUGUUAAGGGGUCCUCUGUGGGAGAGAUUCCUCAGGAGCUUGAAGGAGAAGGAUUAUUUCAAGGGAGAAAUGGAAGGAUCAGCCAAGUACCUGGAGCUGUUGCACAUGGCAGAAGAUCACUUCCAGCAAUCUGUUGCAGUGCCAGAAAGCUGUGAUGAAGUGAGGCCAGGUGAUGAAAUCCUGGCACUACUACAGACAACCCCCAUUGAUCUGAAGGAAUUGGAGAGAGAAGCAGCUUGUCUUCCUGCAGAGGAUGAUGACAGCUGGCUGGAUAUGACACCAGGUGCUCUGGAUCAGAUGCUGAAGGAGACAAGAAAUGAGUCCCUUUCUUCCCCAAAUGAGGAGGAGCAAAACUAUGACUUGGAAACAGUUGCUGAGAGCAUGAAGGCUUUUGUGUCCAAAGUGUCCACGCACGAAGGAGCAGAAAUGCCAUGGUCAUCUGAUGAAUCCCAAGUUACCUUUGAUGUAGAUUCUUUUACAAAAGCCCUGGACAGAAUUUUAGGGGCAGACUCGGAGGAGCUGGAUUCUGAUGAUGUGGAUGAAGAGGAGGAGUUUGGUUUCUCAGCUGAGGAUGAUGAAGAGCUGGAUGCUGGGAAUGGAAGGCAGGAGCAGAAGGUGUCUCCUGAGGAGCUCGUGGGCAGUCUCAAGGCGUACAUGGAGGAGAUGGACCGUGAGCUGGCACAGACCAACGUUGGGAAAAGUUUCAGCAGCCACAAGAGAGGGGCAAGUUCUGUUGGAGCAGCCCCAUGUGAGAGUGCUGGCCCUGACUGUGGAGCUGAGGCUGCUGAGCUGGCAGCCCUGGAUGUGGACAUGAACCUGGUGGCAAAGCUGCUCGAGUCCUACAGUGCCCAGGCUGGCCUGGCAGGACCCACCUCGAGCAUUUUACAGAGCCUGGGGGUGAAUUUACCUGAGAGCACAGAGCUCACUGGCAGCUGAGCAAGGCAGGGAGAGCCUUGGCACCAGACAUGGCUGCUGGGGAGAUGGAGCACAGACACACGAGCAGGAUGGGGGAGAAGAGGCCAAAGCAGUUCAGGGAGAGCACUGGCAGGUUGGACAGGGAUUAGAGAUGGACAGCAAGAGCUGGGAAGUGUGAAGAAGGUUCUGCUAAAUUUCAAGGAAUUUGGACUGCUGAGAGCAGCUUCCCAGGGGAGCCCUGCAGGGCUCUGGGAGUGCUCCCAGGAGAGUUUGCCAUGGCAGAAGAAGCAUUUCCAUGCUGCCUCUUCCUCUGCUUUGAGCAGGCCAACGCUGCCAGAUGGAAAUUGCCAAGGGCACGAGGCUGGCAAGUGAAGAGCAGAGCUGCUGUGAAGGGAAAGCUCAGUUCAUUCAGAGAGAUCACACAGGUCACUUGAGUGCAGGUAGGAAGCAGAAAAUGAGAGAUUUCCAGUAAAACUUUUGUAGUUUGGUGGAGACAAGGAGUCGUGCUACCCAAUGGCUGCAGGGAUGGUGAUCCAAAUUAGUUCUGAGCAGAUUUCCCUUUUUUUUUUAAUUGGUGAGAGUCAU